CUAAGCGUACACGGUGGAUGCCCUGGCAGUCAGAGGCGAUGAAGGGCGUGCUAAUCUGCGAUAAGCGCCGGUAAGGUGAUAUGAACCGUUAUAACCGGCGAUACCCGAAUGGGGAAACCCAGUGUGACUCGUCACACUAUCAUUAACUGAAUCCAUAGGUUAAUGAGGCGAACCGGGGGAACUGAAACAUCUAAGUACCCCGAGGAAAAGAAAUCAACCGAGAUUCCCCCA
rnacentral:rRNA from 13 species